rnacentral:rRNA from 1 species
AGAGUUCGAUCCUGGCUCAGAAUGAACGCUGGCGGCGUGCUUAACACAUGCAAGUCGUACGAGAACGCUUCAGCUUGCUGAAGCUAGUAAAGUGGCGUACGGGUGAGUAACGCGUGGGUAAUCUACCUUCGAAUUGGGGAUAACGUUGCGAAAGUGACGCUAAUACCGGAUAAUAUCAUAGAGACCUUGGUUUUUAUGAUCAAAGAUGGCCUCUCCUUGGAAGCUAUUGUUUGGAGAUGAGCCCGCGUCCCAUUAGCUUGUUGGUGGGGUAAUGGCCUACCAAGGCAACGAUGGGUAGCUGGUCUGAGAGGAUGAUCAGCCACACUGGAACUGACACACGGUCCAGACUCCUACGGGAGGCAGCAGUGAGGAAUUUUGCGCAAUGGGGGAAACCCUGACGCAGCAACGCCGCGUGAGUGAUGAAGGCUUUCGGGUCGUAAAGCUCUGUCAAGUGGGAAGAACUCCCGUGAGGUUAAUACCCUCAUGGUUUGACGGUACCACUGAAGGAAGCACCGGCUAACUCCGUGCCAGCAGCCCGGUAAUACGGGGGGUGCAAGCGUUAUUCGGAUUUACUGGGCUAAAGCGCGCGUAGGCGGCCGUUUAAGUCAGAUGUGAAAGCCCGGGGCUCAACCCCGGAAGUGCAUUUGAUACUAUUCGGCUUGAGUAUGGGAGAGGGAAGUGGAAUUCCUGGUGUAGAGGUGAAAUUCGUAGAUAUCAGGAGGAACACCGGUGGCGAAGGCGACUUCCUGGACCAAUACUGACGCUGAGGCGCGAAGGCGUGGGUAGCAAACAGGAUUAGAUACCCUGGUAGUCCACGCAGUAAACGGUGAUCACUAGGUGUAGCGGGUAUUGACCCCUGCUGUGCCGCAGCUAACGCAUUAAGUGAUCCGCCUGGGGAGUACGGCCGCAAGGUUAAAACUCAAAGGAAUUGACGGGUCCCGCACAAGCGGUGGAGCAUGUGGUUUAAUUCGACGCAACGCGAAGAACCUUACCUGGAUUUGACAUCUCGGGAAUUUCUAUGAAAGUAGGAAGUGCCCUUCGGGGAGCCCGAUGACAGGUGCUGCAUGGCUGUCGUCAGCUCGUGUCGUGAGAUGUUGGGUUAAGUCCCGCAACGAGCGCAACCCCUAUCUUUAGUUACCAGCACUUCGGGUGGGGACUCUAAAGAUACUGCCCCGGUCAACGGGGAGGAAGGUGGGGAUGACGUCAAGUCCUCAUGGCCUUUAUGUCCA